CCGCAACUUGGUGACAUUCGCAGCAGGUCUGUCCGCGGUUUUUUACAAAACACACCAGACCUUUCCUGUGGCGAUUUGUUUGAAGCGAGAAACCGCCGCGACCCGCGAGACACAUACACGGGAUCGGAGGCCUAGAGCAGGCCCUCGUCAUGGCGGGCGCGGUGUGACCAAGGCAGUUUGCUCUAGAUUCCAACUGGGGUACACUGAAACAAUGGACACCCACGAAACCUUCAGGAACGGGCCGGGGUUUUAUCUUUCAAGUUCGGCGCCCAAGUCUCCCGAGAUGGCCUUUUUGUGAGAUGUCGAUAUGACGAAGAAAAACUGGACACGCAUGGCGUCGGGAGGGCGAACGUCUCCUGCGUAGGUUUUGAGAUGACCCUUCGGUGUGUGAGGCGCUCUGAAAAGUCAGAAAGGGGCGAAGCGUGCCGCCUGGGAAGCGUUUUGGCAAUGCUCGUUUACCUUUCCUGUUUAUUUCUGCAGAGUUCAUAGGACGCAGGUAACCAGAUAUUCGUGUGCCAAGUACAGUCACGCCAUGGUACCUGGCCAGCGAACAGUUCGCUGGUGUCUGUUUCCACUAGGGGGGAAUUGAGCCAUUGGAUUGAGGGUUGGUCUGAUCGAUAUUUACUUCCCUUUCUGCGAAAGUAGCGUCGCAAAUUGGGCAAGUUAAUGCAGCGGGAUGGUUAAGCUGUGUGUGUUGCUGUUUCGCGUUGGGUGAUACGGGCGGAGCUGCCGAUCCCCACGAGAGCAGUGAGCAACGUCAUCCAGAACCCGCAUGUGGUAGCAGUGUGUCAGUAAAGUUUGCAGCCUCGGAAUAAACAGAGGAGUCUUCUCUGAGAGCGCGUUUCUACCCCCGCCACUGCUCCGGCAGAAACUUCCAUUCAGUGAAUGCGUCACUCGUCACAGUGUCUCGGCGAAACCAUCCAUCCACGCAAGGGAAUGCCGCAGUGCAAGUGCU
rnacentral:lncRNA from 1 species